GGAAGUAAAAGUCGUAACAAGGUUUCCGUAGGUGAACCUGCGGAAGGAUCAUUAUUGAAUUUUAAUGAAGAGUUUGGUUGUAGCUGGCCCAUUCAUUUGGGCAUGUGCACACCCUUCUCUUUCAUCCCACACACACCUGUGAACCUGUGAGACAGAUGGGGAAUUUACUUGUUGCUUUUUGGAAUACAAAGGCAAUAGGUCAUUGGACCCUCUGUCUACUCAAUUAAUAUAAACUCAAUUUAUUUUAAAACGAAUGUAAUGGAUGUAACACAUCUCAUACUAAGUUUCAACAACGGAUCUCUUGGCUCUCGCAUCGAUGAAGAACGCAGCGAAAUGCGAUAAGUAAUGUGAAUUGCAGAAUUCAGUGAAUCAUCGAAUCUUUGAACGCACCUUGCGCUCCUUGGUAUUCCUUGGAGCAUGCCUGUUUGAGUAUCAUGAAUUCUCCAAAGUAAAUCUUUCGUUAACUCAAUUGGUUUCACUUUGGUAUUGGAGGUCUUUUGCAGCUUCACACCUGCUCCUCUUUGUUCAUUAGCUGGAUCUCAGUGUUAUGCUUGGUUCCACUCGGCGUGAUAAAUUAUCUAUCGCUGAGGACACUGUAAAAGGUGGCCAAGGUAAAUGCAGAUGAACCGCUUCUAAUAGUCCAUUGACUUGGACAAUACCUUUAUGAUCUGAUCUCAAAUCAGGUAGGACUACCCGCUGAACUUAAGCAUAUCAAUAAGCGGAGGA
rnacentral:rRNA from 1 species